rnacentral:tRNA from 11 species
GCGGACGUGGCGAAAUGGUAGACGCAGCAGACUUAAAAUCUGCUAUCCGAAAUGGGUGUGCGGGUUCGAGUCCCGCCGUCCGCACCA